rnacentral:rRNA from 1 species
CGUGUAGGCGGCUUGGAAAGUCGGAUGUGAAAGCCCGGGGCUCAACCCCGGAACUGCACUCGAAACUUCCUCGCUAGAGUCCCGGAGAGGAGAGUGGAAUUCCCGGUGUAGAGGUGAAAUUCGUAGAUAUCGGGAGGAACACCAGUGGCGAAGGCGGCUCACUGGGCCAUUACUGACGCUGAGGCACGAAAGCGUGGGGAGCAAACA